UACGUAGGUGGCAAGCGUUGUCCGGAUUUACUGGGCGUAAAGAGCGCGCAGGCGGUCGUUCAAGUCGCGUGUGAAAGCCCCCGGCUCAACUGGGGAGGGUCACGCGAUACUGAUCGACUCGAAGGCAGGAGAGGGAAGCGGAAUUCCCGGUGUAGUGGUGAAAUGCGUAGAUAUCGGGAGGAACACCAGUGGCGAAGGCGGCCUGCUGGGCAGUUACUGACACUGAGGCGCGACAGCGUGGGGAGCAAACAGG
rnacentral:rRNA from 1 species